GCCUUCGCGGUGCAGUGGUAGUAGCACGCGUCCCCGGUAUGGAUGAAAGGCGGAUUCGAUUCCCGAUUGAGGCUGUGCU